rnacentral:lncRNA from 1 species
AUGCUACAGAAAAAGAAUGUCCAAAGCCACUUGAUUUGAAAUGUGGAAUAGUUCACUCUGGCUUCUGAAAAAGUGAAAUCAAACUCCUUCCUUAAAAAGCACCCUAUGUGUUACCUGAAACUUCCAAAGACACAUGGAUGCAGAUUCUGCUGUUCGUUGCUGUCGGUGCUGAGCGAGAGCUGAGGAAUGAAAAUCGAUUGUGGUUUCUCCUCCGGGUCCGAGUCCCGUCACCAAAGCCAUGGAGACUUCGGCACGCCAGCCCUGACAGCGCCUGGCAGUGCGUGGGAAAGCCGGGCCUCCGGUCCCUCAAAGCCUGAGGAGGUGAGGAAGAAAAGGGCCCCUGGGCCGCUGGACCCCAAUUCCUAGGGUCCCACGGGAGGAGCAGCCGUGUCCCCCUGCCCCCAGCGGCUUCAUCCCUUGGAGACGAAGACAGGACCUCCUGCAGCCCAGAUACCAUCCCCAGCAUCUGUAGCCUGAAAUAGACUAGUCGCUGUCAUCUGGGGUCCCGAUCUAGCUGUGACAAAGUCCAGAGCAUCUGGACGCCCCUUGGUGCUGCAGUCCUGCCCAUCCAGGCCUGAACUGCAGUGCAUUUGCCAGGGUCCUCCCUUCUGUCUGUGAUCUCCAAAACCACCUGAGGUUGGGGAGGGGCACAAGAAGAAAAAAUUGAGGGGUGGAAGCAGCAGGUUAUGGCAGAAGUUAGCAUCAGACGAACGAGUGAAGGAAAGGCGUUUUCCCACAGAUUUCACAUCCCCUAGGAUCGCUGCACGGAAAAGCCGUGAAGACUAGUUUCCACCAGAAGGAACAGAAUCAUGAUCAUCAAGAGAUUUUGCAAACCGACUUCAUCGCGCAGGGGUCUCUCAGCAUCAAAGAAUGAAUAUGAUAAAAACAGAAGAGUUGAAGAAAAAGAAAGCUUCCAGUCCCAGCAAAUUCCCAACACAUUCCUUCAGAUAUCCAGUGAUGACUCAGACUAUGGUAGGCGGACGACCCAGAGGCAGGAGUGGUGAUGGCAGGACCCAGUUUUAUGGCAACACGGUGGCCGAGUGCUUCAGAAUCCCAAAGGAAGGCUUUGUGGACCAAGUGGCCGGGGGAAAUUGGGAUGCUGUAUACCAAGGACAUUACCAAGUGUGA